ACACCGCGCAUAUCCGGGUUUGAUAUGUACCUCCCUGUUGGACUUGCCCGGGCCCUAGUGCCCGGGUCUCUUU
rnacentral:ncRNA from 1 species